AAGCCCCGGCACCUUUAGGGGUGCGUCUCCAAAUUUGCAUUUUGGCGUAGUCUACCCCGUGGGCU
rnacentral:tRNA from 1 species